ACGAACGCUGGCGGCAGGCUUAACACAUGCAAGUCGAGCGCAAUACUAUCUUCGGAUAGUGGAGAGCGGCGGACGGGUGAGUAACGCGUGGGAACCUACCCUUUGGUUCGGAAUAACUUUGGGAAACCGAAGCUAAUACCGGAUACGCCCCGUAAGGGGGAAAGAUGUAUUGCCGAAGGAGGGGCCCGCGUUGGAUUAGGUAGUUGGUAGGGUAAUGGCCUACCAAGCCGACGAUCCUUAGCUGGUCUGAGAGGAAGAUCAGCCACACUGGGACUGAGACACGGCCCAGACUCCUACGGGAGGCAGCAGUGGGGAAUAUUGGACAAUGGGCGAAAGCCUGAUCCAGCAAUGCCGCGUGAGUGAAGAAGGCCUUAGGGUUGUAAAGCUCUUUUACCAGGGAUGAUAAUGACGGUACCUAGAGAAUAAGCUCCGGCUAACUCCGU
rnacentral:rRNA from 1 species